AUUGUCGUUAGACAGCUAUGUUUCUUUGAUCAUUGCUUGUGAGUCAUGAAAAUAGCCACUAGAUUUUCGUUAUGCUCAAGUUUUAUAGUAGUGAUAUAUAUUUUAAAGUGAUUCAAUUGAUAGUGUGUACUGGUGCUCAAAUUCUCUAUACAAAGACAAGACUCCAAAAUGUCAGGUCUAUAGUUUGAAAUUAUAGAACUUCAUAUAGAGGGUCUAUUAUUUUGUUUUUAUGAAAGUAAAAUCUUGGAAUCAUUUGAUUCGAGUCUAUUUUGUGUUCUAUUUAUCCCUAAUCCGUUGUAUGUGGCAUGGUUUUGAUUUGGCCUUCCUGGUUCUGAUUUUUGGCUUGAGUUAGCAUUGCAUGGCCAUGAACUCUUUGAUUUUGCAUAUUCGUUUUAUUUUGGAUUUCAUUUUUUUCAUAUCGAACCAAAUUAAUCUGUGUUAAUAUGUUCAAGUUCUGAGUAAAAGUUUCUGGUUGAUUUACCGUUUCCAUGUUGGAUGAUAUGUUAAGUGUCCCUUUGCAAAGAACAAUAAUAAAUAUGGAGAGGUUAUCAAAGAGAGGACGGAUGGUGUUAGAUGAGAUCAUUUAAUGGGUCCUACUAAUGGAGGACCAAUUUACAUCAUGCACUGAAGAAAACUUGAUUGAGGCACUUGUAAGCAAAAGGAAAAUCUACAAGAUGAAACAAUUUGGUCAAAUCCUGGUCUUCAAAUCUGCUUGAACUGAUCAACUAGUUGGUUACCUAUGCUGAGAAUUUCCAAUUCUGUAACUGAUUUUGCUGAGAAGAUGCUCAAGGCGCAAAUUCAGUGAGGAAUUAAGGACCAAUAAUAAUUAUUGUUCAGUGUCAGAAAUUUCAUGGGGACCCUUGUAGCCAACGUCAAAUUUGCCCGAUGGAAGAAGUGCGACAUCUUUUGGUUUUCACAUUUCCUUGGUGAUAACAUCUGAUGUAUAAUUCCAUUUCCUACUGGCCCUUUGAAUAGAACAAAUUGUAACAACAGAUUUUGCCACUUACUGAUAAGUUGUGAGAUCAAGACUUUCAUGUACUUGUCGUUUGAGGUAUUGUUAUAAGGUACUUGUUUUAUA